AGUAGGGAAUUUUGCGCAAUGGACGAAAGUCUGACGCAGCAACGCCGCGUGAGGGUGACGGCCUUCGGGUUGUAAACCUCUGUUGGAUGGGAAAAAAGGUAGCAAUAUUUGAUGGUACCAUUCGAGUAAGCACCGGCUAACUACGUGCCAGCAGCCGCGGUAAUACGUAGCCAGCAGCCGCGGUAAUACGUAUGUGGCGAGCGUUGUUCGGAAUCACUGGGCGUAAAGAGAGCGUAGGCGGGAUCGUAAGUUAGGAGUUUAAUCCACGGGCUCAACUCGUGGCCUGCUUUUAAUACUGCGGUUCUUGAGUAUGGGAGAGGGCGAUGGAAUUCCAGGUGUAGCGGUGGAAUGCGUAGAUAUCUGGAAGAACACCAGUAGCGAAGGCGGUCGCCUGGCCCAAUACUGACGCUGAUACUCGAAAGCUAGGGGAUCAAACAGGAUUAGAUACCCUGGUAGUCCACGCCGUAAACGAUGUGCACUAGGUGUUGGGGUUUUUGACCUCAGUGCCGUAGCUAACGCGUUAAGUGCACCGCCUGGGGAGUAUGGUCGCAAGACUAAAACUCAAAGGAAUUGACGGGGGCCCGCACAAGCGGUGGAGUAUGUGGUUUAAUUCGACGCAACGCGCAGAACCUUACCCAGAUUUGACAUGCCUGGAAGUUGGCCCAAAAGCUGACGUGCCCGCAAGGGAGCCAGGACACAGGUGCUGCAUGGCUGUCGUAGCUCGUGUCGUGAGAUGUUGGGUUAAGUCCCGCAACGAGCGCAACCCUCGCCUUUAGUUGCUUCGCAAGAAGAUCUCUAGAGGGACCGCCAGUGAUAAGCUGGAGGAAGGUGGGGAUGACGUCAAGUCCUCAUGGCCUUUACGUCUUGGGCUAC
rnacentral:rRNA from 1 species